AGAUCACCUGAGGUCAGAAGUUCAAGACCAGCCUGGCCAACCUGGUGAAACCUUGUCUCUACUAAAAAUAUAAAAAUUAGCUGGGCAUGGUGGCAGGUGCCUGUAAUCCCGGCUACUCUGGAGGCUAAGGCAGGAGAAUCACUUGAACUCAGGAGGUGGAGGUUGCAGUGAGCCAAGAUCGCGCCAUUGUACUCCAGCCUGGACGACAGAGUGAGACUCUAUCUCAAAAAAGAAAAAAAAAAGAAUAUGACAUUUAAGCAGAAACUUGAAAGAGAAAUGGAAAAGCUAAUCCUAAAAUACAUAUGAAAUUCAAGGGACACAAAAUAGCCAGAACAGUACUGAAAAAGAACAAAGUUGCAAGACUCACACUUCCCAGUUCUAAGACUUACUACAAAGCUAUAAUAAUCAAAGCAGUAUAGUGUGGCACAAAGAUAGACGUGGAGAUCAAAGGAAUCACAUUUAGAGUCUAGAAACAAACCCUCACAUUUAUAGUCCAUUGAUUUUUGACAAGAGUGACAAGACAAUUCAAUAAGGAAAGAAUAGUCUUUUCAGCAAUGGUGCCGGGACACAGAUAUCCACAUGAAAAAGAGUGAAUUUGGACCUCAACCUUAUACUAUACAGAAAAAAAAUUCAAAGGGCAUCAAAGACCUAAAUAUAAGAGAUGAAACUAUAAAAUUCUUAGAAAACACAGGGGUAAAUCUUCAUGGCCUUGGAUUUUGCAAUGGUUUCUUAGAUAUGACUUCAAAACCACAAAUAACCAAAGAAAAAAUAGCUACUUUGUAUUUUACCAAAAAGAAAAACUUUGAUGCUUCAAAGGACAUUAUCAAGCAAGUGAAAAACAACCCACAGAAUGGGAGAAAAUAUUUGUACAUCAUAUGUCAGAAAAAUGUCUUCGUAUCCAGAAUAUGUAAAGAACUCUUAUAACUCAAAAAUAAGAAGACAAAUAACCCUUUUUUUGAUGGUCAAAAGAGUUGAAUAGACUUUUUUUUCAAAGAAGAUAUAAAACGGUCAAUAAGCAAAUGAAAAGAUGCUCAACAUCUUUAGUCAUUAGAGAAAUGCAAAUUAAAACCACAGUGGCCACUUCACACUCCUACUAGGAUGACUAGAAUCAGAAAAAGCAGACAAUAACAUGAGUUGGCCAGGAUGUGGAGAAAUUGAAACCCCGGUUCAUUGCUGGUGGGAGUGUAAAAUGGUACAGCUGCUUUGGAAAAUAGUUUGGCAGUUCCUUAGAAAGUUAAACAUAGAGUUACCAUAUGGCCCAAGGAUGAGUAAUUCUACUCCUAGGUGUAUACCUCAGAGAAUUGAAAACAUAUGUUCAUAUGAAAAUUGUACAUGAAUAUCCACAGCAGCAUCAUUCAUAAUAGCCAAAAAAUGGAAACAACCCCAAUGUCCAUCAGCUUGAAAAUGAAUAAACAAAAUGGUCAAAAUGAGGAGACCACACCUUGAGGAGACACAUUAAAGCAGCACAUACAUCCAGUUGCUCCAAAGACCUGAAAGGAGAGGUCUGGGGGCUGGAAGACAUUGUGCAGGAGAGAGAAUCACACUGAAGCCUAGGAAAGUUGAAGCCAGAACAUUCUAGAGGAAGGCCAAUCAGUAGCAUCUCCAGGCAGAGAAACACACCUAGACAAAGACUUAGAGGCAGGAAAGCCUAUUGAAUGUGCAGAGGACAGGAAGAAGAGACCCUCAAGGAAGGAGCAUGAGGGAUGAGGAGUCAUGGUAGGUGGACAACACCCCAAAGGCUCCUGGUUCAGGACUGGGGCAAACUUUGGACAUUUGGUUGACAGCAGAUCCAAGGGUUCACUACCCACCUGCCUCAUGGUAGAAAAGCGGAAGUGAGAUCUGUUUGCCUAACUUUAGCCCCAACAUUCUUCAGACCACAGUACUGGCUUCUAACUUUCUCAGAAAAGGAGGCAAGUAUUGGUCCCUUGGCCAGACCAGCAGAACCUAUGCACAUGACCCAGUAUUUUCAGUGAGAUAAACACCUUCCCCUGGAAAGGAAAUCCCACUCAGGGGCCCUCCUCACCUGCCCCAGCCUACCCUGCAUGGCUGCAUGGCUUAAGACUGCCAUGUGGCCUCUGCAGGUCCUGGCAUUCUAAGUCUCAUUGUUUCACUCCCUAACAGACCUCAGAAAGGAGAACCUCUAACUCCCAGUGGCAUUUAGCUUCCCUCUUUAAACAUCUGGGUCACAGAUAUGCUCAGUUAAUUAAUGUUCUUAGUGCUGCUCAUCUGCCUGCUGGAUAAUAGAUUGAUUCAUAAUUUCAGUAAGCAGCUGUGUAUAUCUUUCCCUGAACAUAAAGGCAGCUUGCUGUCAUUCAUCACUUUGCAUUUGGAGAAUUUAAAUAUAUUCAGGCAGACAUUGUUUAGGGAGGGGGAGGGAGGGCUUCUGAUUUUCUUACCAUUUUGCUUCUAACAAUGACUUUGAUUUGGAACUAAUUGGGGUUUAAAGCACACGUUAACCACAUCUCUCUCAAGGGCACUUAAUAAACUCCCUGUCCCUUGUUCAAGGAGACCAGCCAGGCCCUCCUUUUGGGAUAAGAGCCAAGAGCUUCUGAGUACCUUUCACCAAGAAAUGAGAACCCCAUGCAGAGAAUCUUAUCUGCCAGAAAAGAGCCACUCCUGUCCCUGAGCAGAGCUACUUAUUUCAUUCCUGGGCAGAAUAUGCUCAAGCUUUCUGGAGGAGGUGGGGUUCUCCUGGCAAUCUGGGAGGGGGCUCUUCUGCUGCUCAGCUGCUGGGCCAUGGCAGCCAACCAUCAGGUAUUUGGUGACCAAAAGAAAGCGGCCAGCACCCAGCCAGGUGACCAGAUGUCUUCAUGCAUCAGUUUCCUCAUCUAUAAAAUGUAAAGAAUAAUAAAACAUAUCUUGCAGAGUUGUUGGGAAAAUUGCAUUAUUUAUUCUCUUUACAAUGGUUACAAAUGAUGCAGUGUUUUUUUUUUAAUUUAUUAGGCAACAGCUGUGUAGAUGUGGCUGCCUUUUCAAAUGAUGCCAUUCACCACAGUUAUGUGCUCAACCCCAAACACGUUUUGAGCACUUGGUCUGUGAUUUGCUCCUAGUAAGGAAGGAAAUUAAUAGGCACAGCCCCUCCCUCUCAGGAGUGUGAAAGAUGGGUGAAUGAAUGCAUUUUUUUUAUUUUGGAAUAUGAUUCUUAAACAAUAUAAUUUUCCUUCCCCAGGAAAGUAAAGGCAGCAGAGGCGAGGCUACUAGCAUAGUACAGGCCCUGUUGUGGGAAGGUUGCCAGGCAACACCUUCCCUGUAUCAGUCAGGAAUUGCUGCAUAACAACUACCCCAAAACGUAGUGGCUUAAAACAAUAUGCAUUUUUUAUUGCUCACGAGUCUACAGGUCAGCUGGAUGGUUCUCUGAUCUGGACUAGGCUUGGCUGAUCUAGGCUGGAUUCAUUCGUGCAUCUCCUAUCAGCAGCUGGCAGGUUGGCUGAGGGCUCCCUGAUCCAGGUUGGCCUCAUCCAUUUGGUUAACUGGUGGUUAACUAGCAAUUGGUUGGGCCACAUGACUCUCAUCCUCAAACAGGCCAGCCUGGGCUUACUGUUCCAAGAGACUGAAAGGAUUCAUACAAGACUAAAAGUCUAGUCUAGGAACAGGCACAGCCUCACUUCUGCUCCAUUCCUUUGGCCAAAGCAAGUCACAGGGCCAACCAACAUUCAAGGGAUGGGGGAACAGACUCCAUUUCUUGAUGGAAAUUGCUUCAAAGCCAUCUUGCCAUGGGUGUAUAGAAGGAAUAGCGGAGGAUGUGGUCAGUUUUGCAACCUACCACAAUCAUCCAGCAUUAUUUGUUGUACAUAGAGCAUAAAGCAAGUACUAGGAUUAUGUUGCCCACUUAUGAUAUUUUUGUUCUGCUCUUUCAUUAUUAUAAAUUAUGUUGCAAUAAAUACCCUACCUAUGAA